rnacentral:rRNA from 1 species
AUUGAACGCUGGCGGCGUGCUUAACACAUGCAAGUCGAGCGGUAACGCGGGGGCAACCCUGGCGACGAGCGGCGAACGGGUGCGUAAUACAUGGGAAUCUGCCCUGUAGUGGGGAAUAACCCGGCGAAAGCCGGGCUAAUGCCGCAUACGAUCUACGGAUGAAAGCGGGGGACCUUCGGGCCUCGCGCUAUUGGAUGAGCCCAUGUCGGAUUAGCUAGUUGGUGAGGUAACGGCUCACCAAGGCGACGAUCCGUAGCUGGUCUGAGAGGACGGCCAGCCACACUGGGACUGAGACACGGCCCAGACUCCUACGGGAGGCAGCAGUGGGGAAUAUUGGACAAUGGGGGAAACCCUGAUCCAGCGACGCCGCGUGUGUGAAGAAGGCCU